rnacentral:rRNA from 1 species
CAACUCGACUGCACGAAGCUGGAAUCGCUAGUAAUCGCGGAUCAGCACGCCGCGGUGAAUACGUUCCCGGGCCUUGUACACACCGCCCGUCACACCAUGGAAGUCUGCAAUGCCCGAAGCCGGUGGCCUAACCACUUAUGUGGAAGGAGCCGUCUAAGGCAGGGCAGAUGACUGGGGUGAAGUCGUAACAAGGUAGC